GAAACAGGAAGUUCCUGAGUGGAGACCAGCCAGGAGGACGACGCCUGGAGAACAGCUGACGAAGAAAAUACAACAUGUGGAUGGAUGGGCAGAUAAAUGAGGCAUCCAUGACAGUUAUGUCAUCAAGACCUGUGAUAGCGGCACUGAGGUCAGCGGAGGAGGUCCAUGAUAGGAAAAUCAACCAGCUCAUAAAGUUAAAAACUGCUGAUGAAGUUGACUUGGGGAUAUAAAAAUAAAAACCAGCCAAAAUAAAAGAGAAUACUGGACUUGUCAGAUGGUCAAAUGAAUGAUAAUGUUGCUCGCUCUAUGUUUACAUAGUCGUAUGUCCCCACUGUAGGCUUGUCAGAUGAGCUCUCCUGCCCCCUGGUGGC